GACAUACAAGCUGUUGACAGGGAUUUAUGAGCUGAUAGUGUCAGACUGCAAGCACAACAACAGUCUCCUUGUCUCUGCGUGUCUGCUUAGAGAGAGACUGACAGAACGGACGGGAGGAGGGGGAGGGGGGAAGAGAAAGUGAGGCAGCAAAAUGAGAAAAAAGAAAAAGCAGAGUGAGGAAAUGAAAAAGGAACAUGGAGAAGGACAGUGAAAGAGGCCCAGACUAUACACUGUUGUAAGCUUAUCUCUCUUUGCUCCCAUCACAUUGCAUACUUGCUUUCUUGAGACACUUUUCUCUCCCCUGUUCACUUUAACAUCAUCGUGGCAUGAACGGAAAUGUUUCUGUGUCGAUUAGUGCCUGCUUUUGUUUUUGCUUGUUAUUUUGCUGUGCACUCAUGCUAUUGCUGCUCUUUUGCAUGAACAGAAAGAUGAUGACGAGGACUGUACACAUAUUCUGGCGAGUCAAAUAUCCUCCGUCCUACUGUUGAAUCACAUUUUUGAAAAAAGCUGAUGGUUUGAUGUUUCGUAUCUUUACGUAGAAAUAAAACCACUCUUCUAAAAACCAAAGCACGCCUGGAUGUCCCUUGUGUCCAAGUGCGACAACAUCACAUGUUCAUUUUUGACAGCUGUGCAAUAACAAACCAUCUAUUGAAAACUUUCAGCAUGUUAUAGAAGGUAAUUGUGUUUGCGUCUGCUUGUAUGUGGGUGUUUCGUUAUUUGUCAUGGUGAGUCAGGGCCGUGCUCACUGGAAGACGACAAACUGACGUAGUCGAACUGUCUGUUAUAUCAGAGACACCGUCUGGUGGGUAUUUUCGUCACAUGAAUCGAUAAUAUCAGAUUCUAUUUGGGAUGAGGCUGCUGUUUUCAUACGCCGGUGUUGUCCUCACCCGACUAAUCGAUGCCGCUGUUACGAGGAAAUUCAUUCUUUAUGAGUUACUUCUUUCAUAUAAAGUCAUUUUGCUUAUACGAACAUUGUGAAAUCUGUCAAGGACUUAAAUCUUUAUUCAUAAGCUGUAUCUACGUUAUUGAUCAGUUCUAUUUAGUGAUAAGUUUACAUGGAAUUCAUAAGUGAGACUAAAAAUAGGCUCAAGUCUAAAAUCAAACUGUACAUAUAGACAUCCUGCGUUUCUAUGCAGACGGGCUUUUCCAAAUACCACACCCUGUUAAGUGUUAUGAUUUUCAUAAUAACAAUGAUCCAGAAGUGAACUUUGUUGGUUUGUUGGCAGAGCGCAUUCCCCUUACGGAUAAUAUAGACUUUUUAUUGAUUCAUAUGUCAGUCCCUGUUUAAUGGCAUAGCAUUAAAGUUGGUGAUUUAUGAGGUAUUUUUUAUUUAAAUAUAGACAUGCUGAGUAAUAAUGUGUUUUGAGUUCCCCAGAAAAGCAAACGUCAUUAUGCGGAUGGCUGACAAGUACUAGAACUAUUCAUAUGGGGCGAAAUGUAGAGACUGCUAAGUUAUCUUAAAACAUUGUGAGUUUUAAGUUCUACUCUAAUUAAACAAUCAUCGCCCCGGGUUGGGUUAUAUUCACACAGUCCAGACGGGAUACUCAGAAGAGCAAACUCAGGACCACCAGGAAGUUUGCUAUAGUCUACUUGUGUAUGACAUAUUUGAAAUCCCUAUUCUGCGUUUAAACAUAAGAAAGUCACAUUUUCUGUCCACAUUUUGUACCAUAAUAAUGUUCCUCUUUACGGUGCAUAGCUUUUUCCUAAUGUUUCUCAUGUAAGUAGAUCUGAGAGAACAUCUUAGGAUUCACAGUGUUCUACAGCAACCCUAAUGUCUACAACGACAUAUUGAUGUAUGUGCACUGUAUCUGUGAAGAAGCAAUAAUCCCAACGUGGUCACAGGGGAAUAAAAACAGCAUUAUCAACAUGUACUAUGUAAAGCUCUGUGGAUAAAAACUCACAGAUUUUAAAGCCCUACAGUGACAAUGUAUGUGCAGCAUUCCACUUUUAUCAUCCCACCAUGAAUUUCUAAUGAAUAUUGCAUUGGUCUGCGACAAAUCUAAGGUAAUAUAAGGUUGAAUAAAGAAUUGUUGAUGGUGUCUCAACAGGCUCAUAGGAAACAUGGGACUAUAGUUGUGAUGUGAGAAUCUAGCAGGCUAUGAAUGAUCCACUGUCUUCCACAUCUGUGUUUUAUAGCUUUUCCUGUAUUUAUGAGUUGAGCAGCUUGCUGCAGGGUGCCGUUGUUAUCUCACUAGAGUAAUAAAAUCAGAACGAGCAACGUGUCAUAAAUAAAGUUGAAAACCUUGUUUUCUCAUAUGUUUGCGGUUCACCUACUGUGUAGCACGUCCACUUUGACCUGUAAGGAUUGAAAGUGAACUAUUGCACGAGCUGUGCACCGGACACACAGGGUCUCUGUGUGCAUGUUAGGGGAAGGGGAAUACAACCAAGAAAAGCAACGUGACCUGCACUGUUUGUGUGUCUGUGUCUCCUUCUCCUCCGCUCUUGUUUCAGGGAUACGGACAUGGCUGUGCAGGGGUAGGUGAUACUAUAUCACCACACAAGUCCAGCAUUCCAAAACUACAGCUAAACAACAGUCACGCGGAUUGGACAUACAAUGUUGCUGACCUCGACCCAGACAUGUACCUCAGCCAGGAUGCGUAUGAGCCUGCCAGCCGUUAACCCCACAGAGGAAGUGUGCAGGAAAUGAGAUCAGCCUUAAAGAAAGAUGGGACACUUUGACAAAAGCAAAUAGGAAGACGGAGCAUCUUACCUCAUUACAGGGUAUAAGAAUAAAUGUCCAAGGUGACCUAUGAAGAUAUUUGGUCAUGACUGUGAACUGUUGAGCUUCCCACAAAAAUAUAAUUCUUGUAAAUGGUGUCUUUUUGUCAUAUUAUUUGACUCACUGAAUGACCGAUGACACGGCCAAAGAAAUAACAAAUGAAUGAACGAUUAAUCAUUUGAUUUGUUAAACAAACCAAGCGUGUGUCAGAAGGUAUUUCCUUUAACCACAUAACUGCAUUUCAUGAGAUAACAUUGUAUCUUGCAUUAUUUAUCAAAAUUGCGGAAGAAAUGUUGUAUUAUGUCAAUGUAAAUUGGCUAAUUGUAGCGCAUUAACACAACAAUCAGUAGAUGCACAGGUUACAAUACACACAGAGGAGAUGGACCUGGUUAUCGGCUCAGCUAGACAUCAGGUAGACAUCAAUCCACCAGCAACAAUGAAUCAUAACAUGACUGGACAUGCCUGCAUGUACCUUUUGGAGUAAAGAGUAAAAUAUGGCCCUUUGUUUUGAUUAUAAAGCAGCCGUCGACUCCGAAGCAGUAAACUUUGAAGUCAUUACAAAUAUAACAUGGAAUUCUGAGGAAUUCAAUCACUUUAAAUGUGAGAUCUAAAAGCAUUGCAAACUCAGCUUUCCCAUAUUCUCCAGGAAACCAGGGCAAACUAAUUUAGCAGAAACAAGGGUGGCUGACUGAUGCAACUCAGUGAAAUUAGAGAAUUCAGGGACCAUAAACCACUUCAGACAAACUACUGAGUGUGUGCCGAUGUAUUUGUGCAUGUGUUCAAAUCAAUGUCAGCAUGUUUGUGUAGUGCAGAAGCGUAUGUGCGUCUACCCACCACUGAUGCACGUAAGAAAGAGAUGCUUCAUCACUACUUCCAUGUUGAAGAACGUCUAUUUUUACCGGAACUUCAUUGAUAUGAGAACGACUCAUGUUUAACGGACAAAUGUUAAUGAUAUCAGCAGCUUAUGGGUCACAUGCGGGGGAACUGAGGCAGCUCAUUCAUUUUUUAAUCAACCACACUCUUACUGCUUGCUUUGCCAACCUUACAGUUUUGUGUCAGUGUGGCAAAGAUAGGGUGAAAAAGCGGAAUGCAACUAAAUAAAGGAAAACCAACAACGCCACUCUGGGAAUUUCACCCCGAGAAAUAAUCUGAAAUGUACAAGGCCCACAGGUAAGUGUACUCGUUUUAGGCAGGAGACGCAGUUCAAGGUUUUAGAACAAGUACAACUUUAUUUUAAAUACCUUUAAAAUCAGUGCAAUUUAAUUGAAAUCAAAAGAAAAUCAAUAGAAAAAUCAAUUGAAAACCAAUUAGAGGGCUGAAGCUGGUUGGGUGGACAACGCUAGGUGUAGAGGGGGUGGGGGGAACCCACCAAAUCAAGAAAACAAACUCAAAACAACUCAAAACCACCCGACAUAGUGAGGAACCCGUUUCCCAGGACACCGCAAACAAAGGGGUAGGACACCACCACCCAGCCGCCAGCACCACCACUCUCCAGCAACUAAGAAAAAAAGACAAAAACAAAUUACAAUAAAAUAACAUCCAGCCAACAAUACAAAAGGGACACAGCCCUGGUUAAAACACAUACGUGAUAAGUGUUUAAAAUGGAACUGAUCUGGCGCACGUAUAAACAGGAUGCCAGGCAGUUCAGCGAGGCGACCGAUAUUCGGCACACCAAGCUGCAGACCGGCCCCUCACGCAGUCCUACACAGCGCAGUGUAGUACGACAACACUUCCAGGGGGGAGAUAAGGUUGAAGAAGUGACUGUCACCUUAAACUUCAUCUUGGAAUACACCCCAGUUGUCAGCCAAAACAUACUAUCCACUGACCCAUCUAGCUGGACCUCAGAGGACCUAGUUGGUACAAUAGGCAAUUUCUUCCUUGAUUUAAGUCAAAAGCCAAUUUGUAGUUGAGCUGCUGCUGUUGUCACAAUACUAAAACACUCAAAACAAAGGUUUAAACAUUGUCAAAAUAAACAUUAGUAUUGGAGUGAUUAGUGCCGUCUAUGCGGUCAUUGCCAAAAUAGCAAACCAAAAUAAUAUAUAGCGCAAUAGACGCAGGCUUAAGCCACCACGGUUACCAGCUUGCAUGAAUAGAUCCAGGCUGCCAGGAAAUAACCAAACCCAAAAUAAUGCUGUAAUUGUUCCUUCGAUCUCAGAUGCUUUCUCCCUUACUGUCUCUCAUAAUAAAAGCCCAGUUUGACAGGCCAGUGGACUAUGCACAGGAGAGGGUCUUCUGUUGCUGUUCAACACACAUUUGUAUCAUUGAAGACUACACCCAGCACAGUGCAUUCUUAUUCUCCCCCUGUAUCCAUUCUUAUAUUAGAAAUGUCUUCAGAUGCCAAUAAAGGCAUAAUACAGUUCUACACAUGCAGCAUUUGCAAGCGAAUUGCGGUGCCCCGUGUUGCCUCUGAUGGUAAUCAGAAAACAUUGUGCUGUGAGAGACAGAAUAGCAAGUCCAAUAUUGAGUAUGAUUGUGCUGAAUGUUAUCUGAUAGAGAUGUUGGGAAAAGAGGCGUACUGUCUGUACACUGAAUGCCAAGCUGCUUGGUAGCAGUAAGAUACGGGAAAAAGAAACAGCUGGAACAAAUUAUUCUUGAAUCAUAGUCACAGCUCUGCAAGCAUGUGAAACCAAAAGUAAAUAGAACAAGCACAUGGUGCAGAUAACUUAUGGUUGUGUUACAUGGGAAAUAUAGUUAAAUUGUUAAAGAAGGAACUUGUGCGGCAUCCUUUGUGAUGUCAGUAAACAACAUAUCAACUCUCUUCCUCUCUGUCUCAUUUGUGUCCAUCUCAUUUUCCUCCCAAUCAAACUUCCAUUUCACUCGUAUUUCUCUGCAGCCUCAACUUAUUAAUAUGCUCCUCAGUGUCUUCUUCUCUAUUCAUAUUUCACUCUUGAUCUCCCUGCCUGUGAUUUAUUUUUGUCCCCUAUACAGCAUCUCUGGUUCAUCUACUGUUGUUCUUUUGCUUUUCUAACAACCAAUAUAGUGUAUUUAGAUUACAUUUAGCAGCCCACAGAUUACUCUUGUGCACAUUUCCACCUCCAAAAUCCCUCCAGAAGAACUGCUUACCCCAUAGCAGGAUCCUUUUUAACAUCUGAAAUACUGACAAUUUGGUUGGUGACAGGUAAAAAUAUGCUGCUGUCGGCAAAAAUAACGCACUAAGCAAAAUUUAUAAACUUGAACUAGAAAAAAAAAAAGGUGAACGUGUUUGCAUCAGAAUGAGGUGCAAAGUGAAGAAUGUAUUAAGGCAAAGGAAAAGAUAAUAAAGGCUAAAACGUUAAAAGAAAUGAUUGAAAUUUGGGUAUGAUAAUUCUGUCAAUAGACACCGCAUUUAGACUUUUAACAACCUCAAAGGAACGUUUUUACAUCAACUAUCAUGAUUUUAUGUAAACCCACACGCAGUAAAAAUGAAAUGAAAUUCAUUAUAAAGGAUGGCCGUUUUUGGAACUAUGUCAAUAAAAACGGAUAUGUUUAGAACUUGAGGUAUAUUCAUUAAGGGGAUAAUGGGUUGUAUUGCAGUACAACAAAAACAUUUAUUGUGAAAAGGAAAAAGGAACUAAGGGAGAUCGAAGAGAUUGAUGUCUUAUAGAACAUUUUUCCUGCUUUCCUCUAUCUCAUGAAAUCCCUCCUUCUACUCACAUCUGCUUUGACCCAGUAAACUUAGUUGUGAACCUCAAUCACAGUUUUCUGAUUUGCUACAUCAGUCAUGUGACAACAAACACACAACCUCUCUCUCUCUCUCUUUCGCUCCCCCUUCUAAGAUGCAGAAGCGAGCAAAAAUAAAAUCCUGGUCUGUUUUGCUUUGAUGAUGUCUGUCCUUCUUUUCAGAAUCUGCAUAAGAACCAUUUAUUGCCAAGUAUUUUGCACUUUUACGGAAUUGUACUUGUCCGAAUGGUGCAAACAAUAAACAUAAAUAGACAUAAAUGUAUAUAAGUGUUCAUAUAAUAAUAUAAGGUGUCCAGACCCAUUUCUUGCCAUGUCCUCAGUAUCGUCUCUACUUUUGAAAAUGUUCUUUUUUUAUUGUUAUUUCUUGCUCAAAAGAAAAAUCACUUCCCCUGCUUGAAGCUGGCUAACUAUCUCCCUAUUUUUACCAUUUGUACCCUUUUGUCAGUUUAGUGACAAAUCCUGUAUUAACAUUUCCAUUUAUUGGCUUUUUCAGUAACUGAAAACCCAGUCGGGAAAUGAACGAAUCAUUUCUGUUUCCUUGACUGAGCCUUUGCAACACUCACGAGAAAUUGAACGAUUCUCUCUUUGAGAGGACUCGUUAAUCCCGAGUCCUUGUAAGGAUUCUUUCAAAAUGAACUAAUCGUUCACGAACAACACAUCACUACAGGUUAGAUUUUGCGCAACCGCUAGUUGACAUUUUAGCUUUUAGCUCGGUGGCGAUUGCCGAAAACCCCCCAGAAAUCCCACAAAUGAUCGGUUUCGGGCAAUGCAAGCUUUCACAAAGGGAUAAUAAGGUGGACGUCAUGAGCGAUGUGAAUGAAUGAGAUGGUGCGGUCCCCAAUACUGUUUACGUACACAUGAGGGGACUAUUUUUUCUCUAGACUACUGAAAUGCGAUACACAACGUUUGGUGGCU